CGCCGACUGCUGUGUGCGUUCGAUUUUGGCAGCUAGCCCGAACCGAUAUGAAUAGACAGGGGCCAUUCAUCCGGCGAAAAAGGUCACGCCUUUAUAGGAAGACCGACUUAAACUGGACGGCCCCACCUGUUGAGCUUACGGAACGUGGCUCAUAGCGCCAAGAACGGCACAGCGGUUUCUCU
rnacentral:other from 1 species